UUUUCCAACCUUCCUCUCUCAAGAUGGCUGCCUCCUUGGCAUUUUCUCCCAACAUGGAGGCCUACCAUACUGUUAUCCAGGAUCCCUUUCUGGCCUACCAGGUAAGAUUCACUACACUUGUCAAUAAGCCCUAACAGCUUCAUGUGCCAGUUUCCAUUUCUGUGCAAUAAGUCCAAAGUCUUCACAUAAUCACCAAGAUAAUAUGCAAAUGUGGAAUGCUGUCACAAUGCACAUCAGCCUGCUAGUAGCCUUUUACUUGCUGCAAGACUAGUAUGAAGACUAUUCGAAGUCACAGAGAUAAAGGUCUUUUUAUUGGUUCAGAAUAGAAUUUUACUGACCAGUCAGCUUCAUACUGUGUUUAAUGCCACGUCUUCUAAUUUUUCCAACAUGACCCACACUUUCCCAAUAUUCUUCUGAGCUAACUGUCUGAAGAGAGCAGCAGCAUGCACCUUAAUUCCAGUUUAAGGUGUACAUCACACAGAAAUCAAGACACUAAACCCACAUCUUUGUGAAAACAGACAAGGCAAGAAACCCCAAGGAAAGAACAAAGGUCAGAAUUCUCUCAGGCUUGGCCCCAUGUUAGCCAACCUGAGUCCCUGCAGGGAGAUGGAGGCGGGAUAGAAAAAUAAAGUUGUUGUUAUUAUUAUUAUUAUUAUUAUUAUUAUUAUUAUUAUUUAAAAAAGUUUCAAAACUCAUUACAAAAUUGGGGGCACCAGCGUUUCAUUUCUAAAGUGUUUCUAAAGUACACAACUUAUGGAGACUAACAAAAAAUUGCACAUCCCUAAUCUCUAUAUGAGUAAUAAUAACCAUUUCCAAAUCAUAAAUGUAUCAAAAUAUUGUGAUAAAAGAAACAAUUUACAUUUGGAACAACAGCUAUAUUUUCACUAGAGAAUUCACCUGAAUUUCAAUGAUUAGAACAGGAUUGUGGGUAUCAGCACACAUUUUGGGAACCAUAUUAUACCUAUCAGACAAUAUUGAGCACGUUUCCUGUACUCGACCUCAAAAUUAGAUAUGUGCUUCUUUCUCUCUUCCUUUGUAAUGAUUUCGGAUUUGCACACAUCAAUGCUAACUGGAUAAUGUUCAAAAUAAUUAAUGGAAGAGACUUGAGUGAAGAAACUGUGACAACAAAAUAAAACCAAAGCACAGUGCUGAAUUGAUAAAUAGAAAAACUGAUUCAUUCUAACCUUGAAUAAAACCUGUACCCAGGCCUAACUAAAUUUGAAAUUUAACCACAUAUACUUUCAAAUAACCUAAA